AGCUCCAAUAGCGUAUAUUAAAGUUGUUGCGGUUAAAAAGCUCGUAGUUGGAUUUCUGUUGAGGACGACCGGUCCGCCCUCUGGGUGAGUAUCUGGCUCGGCCUUGGCAUCUUCUUGGAGAACGUAACUGCACUUGACUGUGUGGUGCGGUAUCCAGGACUUUUACUUUGAGGAAAUUAGAGUGUUUCAAGCAGGCGUACGCCUUGAAUACAUUAGCAUGGAAUAAUGAGAUAGGACCUUGGUUCUAUUUUGUUGGUUUCUAGAGCUGAGGUAAUGAUUAAUAGGGAUAGUUGGGGGCAUUCGUAUUUAAUUGUCAGAGGUGAAAUUCUUGGAUUUAUUAAAGACGGACUACUGCGAAAGCAUUUGCCAAGGAUGUUUUCAUUG
rnacentral:rRNA from 2 species